GCAUUAAUGGGGUAGUGGUAACCUGGGUCGUUGCCAUCUCGGUGUUCAGUUCGACCCGCCGGGGGUUCGAUUCCCUCUUAAUGCA